ACCAUCCUUUUCUUGGGGUUGCGCUACUGUCCAAUGAGCGCCUAGUGAGGGCAGUACUGCUAACGCCUGAACAACACACCCGCAUCAGUUAAAGCUCUGCUUUAUCUUGGUGCAAUUUUUGGAAAA
rnacentral:ncRNA from 12 species